rnacentral:tRNA from 1 species
CUGGUCGCGUGGGCGGCCGCGCUCGCGGCCGCUGGAACCGGUCGGGCAGGAAACCCGGGUCAAGCUGCACCGUUCGGUGCAGCGGCGGCUGGAC